rnacentral:rRNA from 1 species
ACACCGCCCGUCACACCAUGAGAGUUGGCAAUACCCGAAGUCCGUGAGCUAACCGCAAGGAGGCAGCGGCCGAAGGUAGGGUCAGCGAUUGGGGUGAAGUCGUAACAAGGUAGCCGUAGGAGAACCUGCGGCUGGAUCACCUCCUUU